CCGAGUUUACAACUCCCAAACCCAAUGUGAACGUUACCAAACUGUUGCCUCGGCGGGAUCUUCUGCCCCGGGUGCGUCGCAGCCCCGGACCAAGGCGCCCGCCGGAGGACCAACUCCAAAACUCUUUUGUAUACCCCCUCGCGGGUUUUUUAUAUCUGAGCCAUCUCGGCGCCUCUCGUAGGCGUUUCGAAAAUGAAUCA
rnacentral:misc_RNA from 1 species